rnacentral:rRNA from 1 species
AACGAACGCUGGCGGCAUGCCUAACACAUGCAAGUCGAACGAGACCUUCGCGUCUAGUGGCGCACGGGUGCGUAACGCGUGGGAACCUGCCCUUAGGUUCGGAAUAACUCCCCGAAAGGGGUGCUAAUACCGGAUAAUGUCUUCGGACCAUAGAUUUAUCGCCUUUGGAUGGGCCCGCGUUGGAUUAGCUAGUUGGUAGGGUAAAAGCCUACCAAGGCGACGAUCCAUAGCUGGUCUGAGAGGAUGAUCAGCCACACUGGGACUGAGACACGGCCCAGACUCCUACGGGAGGCAGCAGUGGGGAAUAUUGGACAAUGGGCGAAAGCCUGAUCCAGCAAUGCCGCGUGAGUGAUGAAGGCCUUAGGGUUGUAAAGCUCUUUUACCCGGGAUGAUAAUGACAGUACCGGGAGAAUAAGCUCCGGCUAACUCCGUG